rnacentral:rRNA from 1 species
UUAAAGAAGCGUUUUCGGUGGCAGCCUGGGUAUAAAUCCUUUGGAACAGGGUAUCAUAGAGGGUGAGAAUCCCGUCUUUGACUCAGUGCAUGCUACUAUGUGAUACGUUUUCAAAGAGUCGAGUUGUUUGGGAAUGCAGNNNANAAGGGGUGGUAAAUUUCAUCUAAAGCUAAAUAUUGGCGAGAGACCGAUAGCGAACAAGUACCGUGAGGGAAAGAUGAAAAGAACUUUGAAAAGAGAGUUAAACAGUGCGUGAAAUUGUUGAAAGGGAAACGCUUGACACCAGUCAUGCGAGCGGAAAAUCAGUCUUUUGCAGUGGGGAGUUGUGUGGGUUCGGACCGCAAGGCCGGCCUGCGCUGCAUCUCUGCUGUAAGUGAUGCACUUUUUCGUUUGCAGGCCAACAUCAGUUUCUUCUGCUGGACAAAACUCUUGAGAAGGUGGCAGCUUAGGCUGUGUUAUAGCUCUUGAGCGAUACAGUGGAGGGGACUGAGGUUUUCGCAGCGCG